GACGAACCGUGCGAACGUUGUUCGGAAUCACUGGGCUUAAAGGGCGCGUAGGCGGGCUAACAAGUCUGGGGUGAAAUGCCGCGGCUCAACCGUGGAACUGCCUCAGAUACUGUCGGCCUCGAGGAAGGUAGGGGCAUGCGGAACUGUAGGUGGAGCGGUGAAAUGCGUUGAUAUCUACAGGAACUCCGGUGGCGAAAGCGGCGUGCUGGACCUUUUCUGACGCUGAGGCGCGAAAGCUAGGGGAGCAAACAGG
rnacentral:rRNA from 1 species